UUUGAAUAUUGUAAUUAAAUAGAAAGCUCAUUUCUUUUUCUUAUAACGAAGGAUGAGUCAUAGGUUUUUCCUGACGAUACAAUACCCUUUUUUUUUAUACCGGGGACUCGAGUAAGGCCCGAGUCCCACGGUCCCUUUUUUUAUUGCUACCACAUGUUUGGGUUUUCCAAACGGUUUCGAAGUUCGGAAAUAUGUAUUUCUCAAAAGGCUAUUUUUUUAUAGAAAUAAACUCUGUUUCUUUUCAAUUCUAAUUUUUGUGUCCUACGUGACAUUUGCCUCAUUUUCGCAGACUAUUUCAACAUCUGUAAUUUUAACAAUUAUUCCUUUUCAAAAAGCAGCACAUGUUUGGUUGCCAUUCUAUUUCGUUCUUUAGAUUUUUUGCAUGUGAUAAAAUUCUUUACGGAAAUAAGCAAAUAAAUGCAUGCGUUUUUAUUUUACAUUAAAAUUCAAUUAUUAUAUUGAUAUUAAUUUUGAAUCCUAGCGCUAUUACCUAGUUACUUCCGUACGAAGAGUUACGUAGUGUUUUUCCCUAGCGGAGAAUUACGUGAAUUUAGGCCUGCCGUCACACCUCCCGCCUUACUAAAAAAAAAUUGUUUACGUAGUAACAAUUUUUUCGUUUGUUUUCAGUUUUUAGAAUUUAAACAAGUUAAAUAAAUCUAUCUCAAGUUGAAAUUGGAUUGCUUAAAAGUUGACACAAUUAAGUGUUAAAUCAUGGUAUUAUAUGUUACUGAUUUUAAAAUGCAUUUCUUUUUCAAAAUAAUGCUGUGACAGUGUAUGUUCUAUACAUAGGUUCUACAAGUCAGCGUCCUAUAUAAUGGGCAGUGUAAUUUUAAAAGAAAAUACUACUAGUUAAGACCAAUAUCGAAAUUUAUUAGUGUAACGAAACUUGUCAGAUAAGUAUAUUAAUUUUAAUAAUAUGUGAAAAAUUUGUAGGUUUUCUUAGAUAAGAUUUUUCUUUGUUAAAAUAUUUAUGUUUCAGGUGCUGAAUUAUAAUGUUAACUUGAAUGAUUUUACAUGUUGUCUGAAAUUGCGAUAAGAAGAUUAAAAUUGUGUAUGCCCUGCUAUGGUUAUUUGUUUAAUUACAAAGUUUCGUCGAUCCUGACUCGAGCAAGAGCUGUAUGGUGUUAUCAAGCUUGUGACAAAGAUUUUGGAGAUAUUGAAUGUACGUUGAAUAAAAAGACGUUGUGGCAAAACGUACAGGGUGUAAAAACUGUAGGUUCAUGAACUUGAGUAUUAUAGAAGAAAAAUAUCGAACCGGAGCUAUUCAUCCCAAUUGUAACCAUUUUUAAAUGAACAGAGGUAUUCAACAAGUGUCUGAUGGCUUCGUUCUAAUGAACCGAGUAUUUGGGAGUGAUAUGUGGUCAAUUGAAUUUUCCUAAUUCUUAAAACUUUGCAGACGGUCAAAAUGAUUUUGCUAAUGAAAUUUCGGAUCUAAUCGGGUUUACCAGUCACAGGAAGUUGUCUGCAGUCCCAAAUGAUUAUCGUAAUUGCUGCUACCUUCUUCAGGUAAGUUCCAAAUUGUUGACAACUUGAUGAAUCGAUGUCUUUCACUGAUUAUUUUUAACUGUCUUUAUUGUUUAUAGGAUUUUUGUUGCCUACGGUUAUGAGGGUAUGUCACGUGGUCCUACAUUAACCGUGUUCGAUCUUUGGUACUCAAACAAAUACCACUAGCUUCCAGAGUAAAAAAACCACGUCAAAAACUCUUGGAAGAAAAUCGAGGCUUUAAAAAAGACAUCACUAAGAUCAUAAUUGUUCAAGAGUCAAUAAAAAUAAAUUUCACAACUUAUAAUAAGAUUGUACAACCGCUGUUUCAUUUUCACAAUACCAUCACUUUAAUGUCACUUUAAAUUUAAUUGUCAAAUAUUUUUGUUUAUAUUAUUCUCACUAAAAGUUAAAAAUGUCACUGUUUGAAUUUUCGGCACCACACUAAUCAAAAUGUUCCCGAAAGGUACCGAUGGUUCAAAACACAAAUUUUUUAAUAGUCCUUUCACAGGUGCAGUAUCCCACCGCUGUCACCAAAAAUUGUCACGUCCCAAGUUCGAUAAUAGGGAUUUUUGAAUAUUAAAAUGUUGGGGAAUUCAACUGCUAAAACACUAAAGUGUACCCUGUAAAUAGGUGGGAGAUUCAAAUUCUACUUUAUAAUGAUUACAACAAGAAAUACUUUAAAUUGGUUACUUUAAUCAACAGUAAUGAGUAAAAGUUACAAGUUCGAGCCGAGAAAUUACAAGUAAUCGGUAAGAGUGCUCGGAGAUAUCUGACGAGAGGAGAUCCUGUGGUCCAUGGGUCCCCAUAGGACCAUGCGCGCGUUGAGUAGAGGGGAUGACUACCCCUUCCUUUGAACUUCCCUGUGACCAAUACAACCCUGGAUGGAGUGUUAUUUUACAAGUUAUUUACACAUUCAUACUAUUCUUUCAUUAUUUAAAUUUAACAUUAACAAUAUAUAAAGUUAAUUAAUAUUUGUUUCGUCAAUUACCAAAUAUAUAAUAAUCGGUUUCAGUUAAAUUCAUUCGGAGUAUUAUAAUUACAUUUUGCAUCUGUAUAUUUAAUUACCAUAGAAUUAUGGUAACUUUGAAUUACUAAUAAGAUAUUACA